UCCGGUUUGUCACCGGCAGUCUCCCUAGAGUUCCCACCUUUACGUGCUGGCAACUAGGGAUAGGGGUUGCGCUCGCUACGGGACUUAACCCAACAUCUCACGACACGAGCUGACGACGGACAUGCAGCACCUGUGUCUGAGUUCCCGAAGGCACCAAUCCAUCUCUGGAAAGUUCUCAGCAUGUCAAGGCCAGGUAAGGUUCUUCGCGUUGCGUCGAAUUAAACCACAUGCUCCACCGCUUGUGCGGGCCCCCGUCAAUUCAUUUGAGUUUUAACCUUGCGGCCGUACUCCCCAGGCGGUCGACUUAUCGCGUUAACUGCGCCACAAAGUCCGCGAGGGACCCAACGGCUAGUCGACAUCGUUUACGGCGUGGACUAC
rnacentral:misc_RNA from 1 species